rnacentral:rRNA from 1 species
GACGAACGCUGGCGGCGUGCUUAACACAUGCAAGUCGAACGGAAAGGCCCUGCUUUUGUGGGGUGCUCGAGUGGCGAACGGGUGAGUAACACGUGAGUAACCUGCCCUUGACUUUGGGAUAACUUCAGGAAACUGGGGCUAAUACCGGAUAGGAGCUCCUGCUGCAUGGUGGGGGUUGGAAAGUUUCGGCGGUUGGGGAUGGACUCGCGGCUUAUCAGCUUGUUGGUGGGGUAGUGGCUUACCAAGGCUUUGACGGGUAGCCGGCCUGAGAGGGUGACCGGCCACAUUGGGACUGAGAUAAGGCCCAGACUCCGACGGGAGGCAGCAGUGGGGAGUAUUACACAAUGGGCGGAAGCCUGAUGCAGCAACGCCGCGUGCGGGAUGACGGCCUUCGGGUUGUAAACCGCUUUCGCCUGUGACGAAGCGUGAGUGACGGUAAUGGGUAAAGAAGCACCGGCUAACUACGUG